UGCCGGGUGACAAACCGGAGGAAGGUGGGGAUGACGUUCAAAUCAUCAUGCCCUUUAUGACCUGGGCUACACACGUGCUACAAUGGGAAGUACAACGAGUUGCGAAGUCGCGAGGCUAAGCUAAUCUUUUAAAGCUUCUUUCAGUUCGGAUUGCAGGCUGCAACUCGCCUGCAUGAAGCCGGAAUCGGUAGUAAUCGCGGAUCAGCACGCCGCGGUGAAUACGUUCCCGGGCCUUGUACACACCGCCCGUCACACCACGAGAGUUUGUAACACCCGAAGUCGGUGAGGUAACCUUUUGGAGCCAGCCGCCUAAGGUGGGAUAGAUGAUUGGGGUGAAGUCGUAACAAGGUAGCCGUAUCGGAAGGUGCGGCUGGAUCACCUCCUUUCUAAGGAAUAUUACGGAGACUACACAAUUUGUUUUUACUUUGUUCAGUUUUGAGAGGUUUACUCUCAAACACUUUUGUUCAUUGAAAACUGGAUAUUUGAAGUAAAUGUAAGUAAUACAAACCGAGAACACCGCGUUGAAUUUGAAAGCUGAACAAAUUGUUUAGCCUGAAGCAAAAUAGGCGGACGGCCAUAAAAUCUUUGAUUUUAUGAGACGAUCGAUCUUUUUGCCGCACAGGCUGAUUUGUGAGCUGGAUAGAGUUUUUUAAUAAGUUCAAUUGCUUAUUUUCUUGAUCUAACUUCUAUCGCUAGAAGAAGGAUCAAAACCCAACCGUAUGGUUGAUAAAGGUUAAGGAAUAAGGGGGGCCCCGGGGGGGA
rnacentral:misc_RNA from 1 species